CUACGGGGUCCGAAACGCAAAAAGAAAUCCAAAAACCCCCAACCCUCCUCCCCUCUGCUUCCUCUGGUGACGGAUUGCGGCGCCGCCGACGAGCCACCGAGCGAGAUGGCGAGCUCGGCGCUGAGACGAUCUCUUACACGGCGCGGCUUGCUCCGGCGCCUCCUCCCUUCCCACCCACCACCCGCCGCCACCUCCUCGUUCCGUCGCUCCUUCCAGUCCGAAGAGGGUGCGGCGAGCGAGAGCACGGAGGACUUUGAAAAGCGGAUGUUUGGAAACCAGAGGGAGCCGGAUGACAACUCGUUCUUCGGGAAGCUCGAUGGGGUUGGGAGCUCCUUCGGAAGAAGACAUGGCACCGGCUCUGGGAUGGGUGCCUUCAGUCAGCAGGGCGAGAUGGGUAACUUGUUUGGUGGGAGGAGUAGUCAUGGGAUCAUGGACGGUUUCGACUCCUUGAACGAUGGCAUGAACGAGAAGUUGGACGACGCGGCCCGCACCUUUCACAUGACGGAUGAGGUUGAGGAUGAUGACUAUGAUUUCAGGCCAGAUGUGAAUUACAGGCGAGGCUCGACUUACAAUGUCCGGGAUCUUGACCUGACAAAACCUGCAGCCCCAAGGAAUCCUCCUAGACCUCAGUUUGAAACAUCUACAAAGGAAGUUUUAAGGAAAGCUGAUUUUAGGAAUGUUAGAUUCCUCGCCAACUUUAUUACAGAAGCUGGCAUUAUCAUCAAGAGGAAUCAGACCAAGAUAAGUGCGAAAGCUCAGCGCAAGGUGGCGAGGGAGAUUAAAACAGCGCGUGCACUGGGGCUGAUGCCUUUCACGACGAUGGGCAAGAGACCAUUCAUCUUUGGCAGAAGUGUGGAGGAGGAUGCUUCAGAAGAGGAAUAUGGGUAUGAUUUCGUCCAGAAGGAUGCUGGGCCUGAAGACACUGCUGGCGAUGCUGUGCCCGAUGUGGAGACUGCGUAAACAAUCUGGAGUUGAACUACGGUGACUUGUGGAUCUAUGUGGGGGGCCAAGACGUGGUUGACAUGGGGUCUGUAUCAAGAGACAACCUCGAAAUCUGGUACCCUGUGAACGUGGUUGACAUGGAGUCUGUAUCAAGAGCGAACCUCAUAAGUGUUCUCUGAUUGUGCCUGAUGUCAUCUUCAGUGUUUAUGAUUCCCACAUAAAACAAAUGACACGUGUGGAUUAUCAAGGUCCUCGGCCAAUUGCCCAGUUCCUUUUAAUCUGUGCCCCCAAGCUGGCAAGCUCUCUUGUUUCCCGCUUGCCUCGAGCUCUUCGACAUGCCUGAACCGUCACAUCGCAGUCGCAAACCUUCCGUUUGAGCUGAUCAAGGAAUAUAUUGUAUGUAUAGUGCUUUGAUCGCUUGUGUGCGUUGACUAUGGCCUCAAAUAUACAAAGUAAAACAGUACAAAAAACACACUUGAGAUAUGAGUUGUACAGGCCCUAGUGGAUCGAACUGACGAAUCCUAGUCACCUAAAGCGUUGCCCAGUUCUUGGAAACCACCAUGGCCUUUGUGAUCAAGUUGUGUCCCUGUGGAUAUAAUAGUCCCACAUCGCUUCUUUGCA